rnacentral:rRNA from 1 species
GACGAACGCUGGCGGCGUGCCUAACACAUGCAAGUCGAGCGAAGUGAGUACUACGGUACGAACUUAGCGGCGGACGGGUGAGUAACGCGUGGACAAUCUACCCUGUAGACUGGGAUAACACCUCGAAAGGGGUGCUAAUACCGGAUAAUGUCGAGAAGCGGCAUCGCUUUUCGAAGAAAGGAGAGAAUCCGCUAUAGGAGGAGUCCGCGUCCCAUUAGCUAGUUGGGGAGGGUAACGGCCCACCAAGGCGACGAUGGGUAGCCGGCCUGAGAGGGUGAACGGCCACACUGGAACUGAGACACGGUCCAGACUCCUACGGGAGGCAGCAGUGGGGAAUAUUGUGCAAUGGGGGAAACCCUGACACAGCAACGCCGCGUGAGCGAAGAAGGCCUUCGGGUUGUAAAGCUCAAUAGUAUGGGAAGAUAAUGACGGUACCAUACGAAAGCCCCGGCUAACUACGUGCCAGCCGCCGCAGUAA